CUGUGUUUACGCCUUUGCUCCAUCGCUCUCUCUCUCUCUCUCUCUCUCUCUCUCUCUCCUUCAACCGAGCAAGGGCAGCGGUAACGCACCUCGAUCCGCCGCCGCCUCCCUCUUUCCCGCCCCAUCCUCGCCGAGGGGAGGGGUGGUCGGGCUGGCCAACCAUCAGCUGAGAGGCCCCAACUUUCAACCCGCUGUCCUUUUACCCAUUGCGCCAGGAUGCUUUGAAGAAGGGGGAGGGAAAGAAAAAAACCGAGCACACCAGCAUCGGGCUUGGGGGGGGGUCUCUGCCCCCCUCUGCCUCAUCUGUGCUUACACCCCCCCCCCCGGAUUCUCAGUCUUGACGUACGGAGAGAAGAUGCUUGGAUGGCCCUCCGGAGAUCUCCGGAAGCCAGUUUGGCUCACCCUUGACUCUUCUGAAAGCUCCCCGCCUUGAUGACCCCAAGUUGUGCCCAUCACGUCUUGCUGUUGCCUCUUUCUUUUGCACAGGCUUAGACUCUUUACUGUGUUGCGAUGGAGACUUUGUCCCUGGAGCAUCAGAUCCAAAGCGUGCAAAGACACAUCACCUUCCUCAAAAAGGAGCAGAUGAAACUUCUCCACGAUUUGCACCUGGAGAUCCUGCGCUUACAAAAAUACUGCACAGAAUUGACCCAUGAUCUUGAAGUGAAAGAGUUGGAAGCCAAGCAGCAAGACGUAAUAGACCAGGAACUGGAAGAAAAGUGCAAAAUCAUGGAAGCCCAAUUGGAAGAGAAAGAGAAGGGCAAUUUGGAAUUGCAUAAAGAGCUGAGGCAUAAAGAGAGCUUGGUGGCUGCCCUCCGAUCCAACCUGAGGAACAAAGAAAGGAGAUUCUUGGAAGAGCUCAAGCGGAGAAGCCACCGAGUGACCGUCCUCAACACGGAGCUGCAGAAACAGACGGAGGCGGCCGCUUACCUCUCCUUCCAGCUUCACUCAAGCAAACAAAAACUUCACGGCACCCGGCAGAAAAGCGCAGCCCAGCCCGAGAAACCUCCGGAGAAACCCUCCGUCCCCCAACCCAGCGCUGAGUCUAGGCCCAAAAAAAGGACUCAGAAGUCUCACACCCGGCGGCAGGCGAGCAGCGCUUUCCAUUGCAAAGGCGCCGUCAAGGACAUUGUGGCUCGCGAGCGGCUCGGCAGCUUCGAAGACCUCGAACCCAUGCCCGACCCGGCUCUCUUUUUAUACACCACACGACCCCACCCUCCGUCCCGUCGUCAGAAACCAGAGCGCAGCACGUCGGAUUCGUCCUCCAAGGAAGGCCCUGAGCAGGGGAACCGGAAGAGCGGUUGGAAAAAGUCCUUUCAGCCUCUCGCCGAAGAACCGGCAGCAGCUGUGAGUCACGUCAGGACUUUGGGUCACCGUCGGGGCCCCUCUUCCAAAGGGGAACCGCAGAAGCAAAAGAGCACUAGCGCUCACCCUGCAAAAGACUGAAGGAGCAGAGGGAAAGCUAUGGCACCCUUUUGAAACCGUCUUGAGCACAUCCGUCAAUCAAGGGCCCACGAGGCAGGGAAUGCACCACUCCUAAAGCCAUUGAGAUGCCAUCAUCUUGGACUGUUACCUUGCUUAAAAUUCCCACAUGCUGUAGCUAUGCAUCCCCUGGGAAUGGCGUCAGUAAGAGUGGACUGACCCAGCGCCAGGAGGGCCGUGGAGUCAUUGGCUGAGGUUACCAUAAGCAACCUUGCUUCAUAAUUUGGCAAAAAAAAAAAAAAAAAAAGAGAGAGUUCCGAAAAGGGAACUUCAAGUUUUUUGUGCCUUGCUUGCUAGUUGUGGUUUUCCUUUUUUUUUUUUUUUUUCCUUUCUUUCUUUUUUUUUGAACUCGGAUGGAAGUCUUGCCAUCGGCAUUUGGGGAAUCUGGCUUUCAUCAGCGAGAACAAAAGCCAGCAUCGGGGUUUCCCCUAAGCUGAAUGUGUGUAGUUUACCCCUCUCUCUUGGAUGUGGUUUCGUUUAGUUUGACAUUGCCAUGCUUAGAAUAUCGUCCAUUGCUGGAGAAGAUGGCCAUGAAGGGUGAAUGAGGUCCCUGCAUCUGAAGGAAUAACACAUAAACACACCUGAUGAAAUGCAGAAGAUCUCAUAGCUGUGGAUGGAUGUCAUAUGGACUUAUUUGUGUAAUCUACAGUGCUUACAAGAUAUUUUUACAAUGAUUUUUCCCCCACCACUUUCUGUCAUAAGUUCCCUAUGAAAUAAGUAUAAAUAGUUGGUAGAAUAUACGUAAUUAUUUACAUAGAUGUGUCUAUGUGUGUGUAUGCACAAACACGAUAUACACAUGCAUAUCCUUAUACUGUAUUUACAUUUAUCAGGGAACAUACCAAAUGAAAUCAGUCGUGCUUUGUAUAAAAGAGACCGAUGUUUCUGGGUGAAAUUAUCUUGUAUCUUCUGGAAGACAGAAGCGAAGCAGAGCAAUAACUUGUUGUUGUCGAACCAAAAUGUCAUGUUUGAUUUGCACAUAUCAACCAGAUCUGGGCUGUAGCUUCACCUCACAAGGUCUUUGGCUUCUCUGCCCUAGAAUUGUACCACCGGCGCUGUACAGGUAGUCCUCGACUUACGAUCACAAUUAGGACCAGAAUUUCUGUUACUAAGCAAGGCAGUCGUUAAAUCCAAUUUUAUGACCUUUUGUUGCCAUGGUUGUUAAGUGAAUCAUUAAGCAGA